rnacentral:rRNA from 1 species
AUGUGCAUUCCGAAGAAGAAAGGGGGCUUGGGGUUUAGGGACCUUCACAGUUUUAACCUUGCUAUGUUAGCAAAAUAGUGUUAGCGACUAAUCCAGAACUUAAAUUCUUUAUGUUCACGUAUCCUGAGUGCUAAAUACUACCUCGAUGGUAAUAUCUUAGGGCUGGCCCGAAGAAGGGAUCAUCGUACACCUGGCAGAGUAUUGUUGCCAUUGUGUUGGGUAUCAAUACACACUUGCGUCUACAACUCUAGUAGAAACAAAGUAAUUUUAGCAUCACUUCAUGUACCAAUUCAAAUAGCGUUGCUCGGGAUGGAAGGAAACCUAUGCAGAAACAUAUAUGGAGGAAAUAGAUCUCAAAACACCCGAGAUACACCCCAGACGAUAUCUAGGGUCAGGAAAACCAAUCUGAACUGUAGCAGUAACAUCAACACAUUAACACACGAUUUUUAUAUGGAAAACUCACCAAGUUGGGGUAAAAACCACAAGUUGAAGCUGCCCAAAUUGUCUUCUACUACUAUCAGAUGUGGGAUAUGA